rnacentral:rRNA from 1 species
UACGUAGGGGGCAAGCGUUGUCCGGAUUUAUUGGGCGUAAAGAGCGUGUAGGCGGCUUGGUAGGUCCGCUGUGAAAACUCGAGGCUCAACCUCGAGAUGUCGGCGGAAACCACUUGGCUAGAGUCCGGAAGAGGAGAGUGGAAUUCCUGGUGUAGCGGUGAAAUGCGCAGAUAUCAGGAAGAACACCUAUGGCGAAGGCAGCUCUCUGGGACGGCACUGACGCUGAGACGCGAAAGCGUGGGGAGCGAACAGG